GUCUCUUCUUCGAUCGUUCUUCUUUCUCCUUCUCUCUUUUCUCUAAACAACUAAAACCCAAUAACUGAAUCUUCGACUAGGUUUCCAAAUUACGGAGAUCAAGAAUUCAACUGAUUGUUUUUCUCUUCUUUGAUUCGAAUCACGUUGAAACACUUGCGCUCUUAACUUUAUAUAAGGCGAUGAUGAACAUUACACGAAGAAAGAUUCUGCAGUAAUAUUGCGGCAAGUGUUAUACCCUUAGGUUGAAAACCAAGGAAGCUGACGUAUAGGAGGCUACAACGAAUUUUUGUCAAAGCUGUAACAAUACUCAUCAUUCGAGACUUCUUCUAGCUCCAACUACUACGAUAGUUGAGACAAGGUAUGUUACUCUUUUGAAUAAAAAUUAAUUCUCAAAGUCUUUUUUCACGUAUGUGUGAUAUUAGUUGGAAUAUUUUGGGACUUGCACAUGACGCAUUCUAGGGUUAUGUCUAUACUGACCAGAGUUUAUUGUGAGUUUAAUGCGCUCAAUAUUUUGUUGAACACCCAACUCAUAUAGUCCUUUACUCUAUUUGAACUCAGAAUGAUCUUCUAAUGGUAAUUAUAAAAGAAGACACAGGGUAGGUGAUUUUUCCCAUUUAUUACUUGCAUCUUGGUUUGCUUACAAAUCUUUAUUUGUUAUUACACUUAUUCUUGGAUGAUAUUAUGGAGCCGUCUUUCCAAAUAUUUUGCAGGUUUAAAGUGUAGAUGGUCAGAGCUUAACCUAUUUAGUCGUAAACACGUGUUUCAAAUGCUCUUUGAACAAUCUAUGUUCAUUCAUGUUCUUUAUAACCUUUCUGUAUGCUUGAGAAGAUAUUCAACUUUAAGUUUAUUAAAGUGAAAAAAUGUAUUUACUUGGUUUCUAGUUCAGUUAUUUAGUGGGGAAUCCUCAUCUAUAUCUUUGUAACGUGAAAAUAUUGUGAUUUAUUUAUCUACAUCAAUCAGAGAAUCCUAAAUUAACAGAAGGAAGAGAAACAUUAUUUCCUAACA